ensembl:lncRNA
AAAGGCAUCAUUAUAUCAACGGACUGACGUAUGGCUUCCAUCUGUGGAUACUGAAUGCUGCUAUCCUGCAGUGUUUUGGAGAACUCUUGCCAAGAUAGGAACUCAGGUUCAGAUGCCUCUUGAAAACUAUGACAUCUACCACAAAACAAGGCAGCAUGACAUAUCACAGCAAGGGAAUGAAGUAUAUUGCAAGAUCAGACCUGACUUGUAAUAACCUGAGCAAAGGAGCAGUGAUUUUACGGAUUUGGAGGCAUAAUCUUUUUUUAGAUGGCAUUCCUGAGUGUGGAAACUCCCUUGUUUGGAGAGAAUGUCAAGUGGAGCUGAGCCACAGGUACUGUUACUCAAGGGUACAUAGACUUCCAACCCUCUUUGAUUCCAAUGGGAGAGAAGAAACAAAAUACUGUAGAAGAUCUAACUCCAGCCUAAUCCCCAAAAAUCCAGGAUUUCUGAGUGAACUUCAUCAGGGUUAGAUGUAUAAGAGUCCUUCAAAAUUCCUGUAGAGUUAAUGGAGAUACACUGGUCCCACUGGAAGGAUUUCAUCCUAACUCUACAAUUACUGUUUUGGAUAGGAUGAAAGAUUUCACUUCUGGAAGGCCUCCAUUCUCUGCAGCAUGAGCUUGGACAAAUAGCUUGGACAAUCAUCUAGCACUGCCAUGGAGGUCUGUCUCAGGUUGAGCUAUAUCCUACUGUAAAAAAGUAAGGAAAAAAAAAAAAAACAAUAACCAAUGACCUAUAGUAGUAUAAAAGAAUUAUCAAGUUAUGAUUUAUUGUUGCAGAUUACAGAAAUUUUCCAAAUAUGGUCAGAAAAUUUGGAAUGAGAGAAAAUAAGAAAACAUCUCUAUCACUUCACCUCUUGUUCUGAAUGCAAGUAAUGUUUCUCCACCUCCUGUAACUGAAAAAAGCCAGACAUAUACAAGUAAGAAAUACAUAUACACUUACAUGUACAGAUACAUUUAUGUAUGUACAUAUAUAUGUAUCUUCCAAUAAAGCAUUAAAUUUCAGUGAACACUUUUUAUUCAAUGACUGGAUAAUUUGUAGACAUUAAGUAAUACAUGUUAACUGAAAGACUCAGAGAACAGAGCAGAAAUAUAUCUUUUAAGUUCAGGGGAAUCUCAUCUCGUUUCAGGUUUCAAAUCUGUGAUUCAGAGUGCAUUUAUAGGAAAGGACUAUAAUGAUCAAAGUUUGUGUACUACAUGAUGAUUUGCAGAUCUCUAACAAAAUCAGGCUAAUAUAGAUUUUAGAUGGAAUUCUGCUUUGAGAAUUUGAAGUGAAACUUGAGGAUCAGCUGUAUAAUGUGUUGCAAUGUUCAGUCAAGUGAUGAGGUUUUAAAUAGCAGUCACUGACAGCCAAAGGAAUUCCAUCUUGAGGAGGACAAUUUUAUUCAUUUGUGGCUAUUGACAAUAGUUACAUUCCUGUAAUAAUUAGAAAUAGUACCUAGAGUCAUAAAAGGUCAGAAAUGUUCAUAGGAUACUGCAUGUGCUCUACUUCUAUGAACUAUGCCUAUAAAUCUAUUAUUAUUUAUGUUGCAUUGAAUAAGGGUAAUAUGACUUUUAAUUUUGUUUUAAUGAGUAAUAAACAUUGUUUGUAAAUAGUCACAAAUCUUUAUUUAAAGAGUGAUAUUUAUUAAGCUCUUUAGCAAUUUCAUUUAUGAAAUGUAUUUCUGCAGCUGAUGAAUUUGAUUGAAAACAAGAAACCUUUGAAAAAGUAUGACACCAGAACCAAAGAAAACAAUGAAAUUCACUCUUGGCAUGAAUGAGUAACCCAUUCCUUCCUUCCUCUCAGCUGAAGAAUGGGUUUUAGUAACUGAAACUGGAGAGUCUUAUUUCAGCCUAAACAACCCUGAUCUGCAGGCCUCAAAGCAAAAGAAGACUAUAUGCCAGGUGUAACUUUGGUAUUUUCUUAUAUAAUAAAGGUAAAACUAAUGGUCUAAUGAGCAGGAAUAAAACUCAUGUCCACCAGUGUCAUAUAUGCAGAUGACAAUAUGAUCUGUAUGCUCCUGCAUUCAUUCAUGGGUGUUACUAAUUAGAAUUUAAAAAAAUAAAAUAAAAUAGC